GAGGGUAUAGCUUAGUGGUAGAGUGCGCGCUAAGCAGGAGAUCCUGGGUUCAAUCCCCAGUACCUCCA
rnacentral:tRNA from 1 species